rnacentral:tRNA from 1 species
GGCGGUGUGGCUCAGUGGUAGAGUGCUCACCUGUCACAUGCAAGAAUCUGAGUUCAAUUCUCAGCACCACAU